AAAUCAUCUGUUGAUGAUGGAAACAUAUUCUCUCACUGAGCUUUUAGCUUUGAAGAUUAAUUUAUUCGUCACUACCUCUGAAACAGAUGAUUU